CUAACGCUGGCGGCGUGCCUAACACAUGCAAGUCGAACGAUCUUUGAUUAUAGCAAUAUUAUUAAAGAGGAGUGGCGAACGGGUGAGUAACACGUAGAUAAUCUGCCUUUCAGACGGGGACAACUCAGGGAAACUUGUGCUAAUACCCGAUGAGACCACAAGAAGGGAUUUUUGUGGCCAAAGGCGGGCAGCAAUGCUCGUGCUGAAAGAUGAGUCUGCGUCCUAUCAGCUAGUUGGUGGGGUAAAUGCCUACCAAAGGCUAAGACGGGUAGCCGGCCUGAGAGGGUGAACGGCCACACUGGGACUGAGACACGGCCCAGACUCCUACGGGAGGCAGCAGUGAGGAAUUUUCCGCAAUGGGCGCAAGCCUGACGGAGCGACGCCGCGUGAGGGAUGACAGCUUUCGGGUUGUAAACCUCUUUUAUUAAGGAAAAAGAUCUAUAUGCUAAUAUCAUGUAGAUUUGAUGGUACUUAUUGAAUAAGCCCCGGCUAACUACGUGCCAGCCGCGGC
rnacentral:rRNA from 1 species